AAGCAAUGAAGCUGCCGCCAGCCCCCCCAGGUCAAGGGACCAAGAGAAGGCAUUUGGAAAACACUGCAAUCAAUGAAAACUAUCGGUUUUUCUCCUGGCUCCUGGCACUUACUGGAGCAAGUAAUUAUUCUAUCUUCUCCUUCCUCCACCACAGUCCCUAAUUUAAUCUCAUAUAAAGAUUAAUGUGUCUCCAUGUUGCUGAUCCUUAUUGUUUCUCUUUAUAAAUUUUCAAACAAUUCUGUGUUAGUUUCUGGGACUGCAGUAGCAGAACACUCAGUAUUAUUCAGCGUGUAGGUAUAGUAUAUACAAAAGAUGUAAGAAUGCUUUCUGUUUUGUUGUCACUCCCAAUAAUAAAAAUUCCCAACAUUUUAGUUCACUUUUUGAAAAUAUCUAAGUGCUAUGCACAAUGGUUUCAAAAACUAUUUCCAAAGUGGUGGUAAUUAAUUGUUCUGUUACAGAUAAUUAGGAUUACUCUCCCCCCACUACUUUAUUUUCCAUUUUUCAGUACCAUCAGGUAUUUACUGUGUAAUUUAAAAUAGGAUCACACAAAUUUCUUCACCUCUUUUCCCAUGUCAGCUUUGAACAGCACAGAAGGUCCAAACAGAAAUGGUAUUAAGAGCACACUUGUAAUUAGUAACCUCUCUUGGUUAUGACUAUCAGUUGACUACCAGCUUUACCUCUUUGUCUCCUUCUACCUUUCAGCUGUUCAUUGAUUCUGAAUGGAUUCUGAAUAGCUUCUCACCCCAUGAGAAAUUAGCUUUAUAAAAGUACUUAAUGUUUAGAGUAAACACAUGGUAAACAUAUUUGUUGUUACAGGUUUCUCCAGAGACAGGUGUGUAACACCAUUAAGGCCAAACCUGAAAAAUUUAAGGGAAAGUUAUAAUGUCAUUUGCUAGAUAAUGGCCAUUUGUAUUGUUUUCCAGCAUAUAUUAACUAGACAGUCUCACUUUACUAGUGUAUGUUGAUAACCCAUGCUGUUCUUGUUUUGUAUAAUAAUGUUAUUUUUAAUUUUUGUUGUAUUAUAUGUGCUUAUGUGCAGGCAGGCAUAUGCAUCACAUGUGCAUACACAGUAUUUUCUGUUGAGAUCCUCCCCAGCUAAAAACCGUUAGAACUGACACCAUGAUUGCAGAUUUCACUGCUAGAUGAGAUAAUCUUAACAGCCUUCUUACAUAAUCCAGGUCUUACUUUCAUUUUGCAACACUUUUUUUUUGACAUGUUGAUUUACUAGAGACAUCAAUUCCUGUUGCAUGUGCCUGUGUCCCAUCCCCUCGCUUUAACACCAGUAACUUGUACCUGUUCAAAGUGCCAUAUUCUCCUUACUAUCUCCAAAGCUGGAUGGAAACUGUGGUGCUGUGAUUCAAAUAGGAGUGUACGGAUGUGUCUUGUCUUAGCCCAGCCCCAUCAGGUAUCUGUGCCAUCGACCUGCCCUGAGUCACUUCUCACCAUGGGUGUUGCACCCAUUGCACGGGUGUGCGGUAGGGUUAUGACUCAAAAGCCACAUCAGCCCAGGCUAAAAUAGGUCUUAAAAGUCUUCAUAUGAUAUAAAGAUUUCAAGUGGUAGAGGACCUACUACAUUCCUUAUUCCUGUGGACUUUGUAACCCCACAGAAAAUGUAAGAUAUCUGUUUCUAGAACAUGACAGGGUACAAUGAGAAAUUAAAAUUCAAGUCAAGGCUGUUAUGCAAAGCUGAGGGGA
ensembl:lncRNA